CCAAGCACUACUAAGGGAAGGGGGGGAAGGGUCAAAGUUGCCUGAUAAAGAAGAGCUGAACAGAAAGAAAGUAUACAGACAACAACCAAACAGCAACAUAUUCUUUCUAGCAGACAAAACUCAAACUCUCUCCGAAUGCAAAAUUACUUUAGAUGAACUAAAGAAGGCUCAUCAAGAAAUAGAGAACUCAGAAAAGACCAAGACCAAGAAAUAAAUAAGUCCAGUACAAGUUGACAAUGUGUGGAAUUUGCUGUGUGAUCAGUUUAUCUGCUUAUACCCCUGGAAGUUGUAUCUUGAAAGAAGAUAUCCUAAAUAAUCUUAAAAGAAGGGGGCCUGAUAGAAGCCAACAAUUGGAAAAGACUGUUCUUCAUCUUCCAUAUUGGUGCUUAUUUUCUGGCCAUGUACUUCAUUUAAGGGGGACAAUGACUCCACAGCCAUUGGAAGACUCUGGUAAUGUAUUCCUUUGGAAUGGAGAAAUCUUCAGUGGAAUUUCUGUGGAAAGGGAAGAGAAUGACACUCAAGUUAUUUUUCGCCGACUCUGCUCUUGCAAUAGUGACUCUGAUUUUUUGACAGUGCUGUCCUCCAUUCAAGGUCCAUGGUCUUUUAUUUUUUAUCAGGCAUCCAGGCAUUGCUUAUGGUUUGGCAGGGACUACUUUGGCCGUCGAAGUCUGCUGUGGCAGUUUAAUAAAGAGAGUGAUGCUGUUCUUGUACUGAGUUCUGUUAGUUCUGCCUCUCAUAAUCUGUGGCUGGAGGUUCCCGCAUCAGGGAUUUUUCAGAUGAAUCUGCAGGAUUGUGUUGCUCAUAAAUCGAUUACUUUAAUGUUACAUCCUUGGAGAUUUCCUCCCAGACAAAAUGUAGUUGGAGAAGUAAUCCCUGGAGAUUUAAACGUAGUGUCUAAAUCUUUACCUGCUUACGUGUCUCUUGUGAUGAAUACAUCCACUUCUUUGAUAGCUCCAAUCAUUCCUUUAAAUAAGGAAAUUUCUGACAUGACAGUAGAAUCCCAAAUAUUUAGUUUUCCCUCGACUGUAGCUGAUGUGGAAGUUCUUCAAAAAUUUCUUGCAGAACAUCACAGGAAGGAAAGAGUCCAUCAGUUUAUUGAUGUAUUGAGUAGAGCUGUAAAGAAACGGGUUUUAUGCCUAAUGAGAAACAGUGAUCCAAUCAGAGGCGAAAUAUCAGAUAAAGAUCUGAAGAACUCCUAUAUUGCCAUACUUUUUUCUGGUGGCCUUGAUUCCAUGAUUAUAGCUGCCCUUGCUGACAGGUAUGUCCCGUUGGAGGAACCAAUUGAUCUUCUCAAUGUGGCCUUCGAGGUUACAGGCCAAGGUAACCAAAACAGUUCCAUUAAAAAACUCAGCAAAGAGAAGAAACAAUUUCCCCAUUGUCAGGAAUGUUUAAAUGUCAAGAACGCUGCGACCAGUGACUCUUCUCCUUCUUUUAAUGCUCCUGAUAGAAUUACUGGCAAGGCAGGAUUAGAAGAAUUAAAGAUAAUUAAUCCUUCAAGAACUUGGAAUUUUGUGGAAAUCAAUGUUACACUCGAGGAUUUAAAAGCAAUGAGAGUGAAACAUAUAAGACACUUAAUUUAUCCACUGAAUACUGUUUUGGAUGACAGUAUAGGUUGUGCCGUGUGGUUUGCUUCCAGAGGAGAGGGUGUGCUUAUCAAUCAGAGAGCCAUUCAACCAUAUAAAAGUCCUGCAAAGAUUGUCCUUACAGGAAUUGGAGCAGAUGAACAACUUGCAGGCUAUUCCAGACACCGUGUUUGCUUCAAAAAAAGUGGUUUUGAGGGUUUGACUGAAGAAUUAAGAAUGGAAUUAAGUCGUAUUUCUUCUAGGAAUCUGGGUCGAGAUGAUAGAGUUAUUGGAGAUCAUGGCAAAGAAGCUAGAUUUCCCUUUCUUGAUGAAGAGGUUGUGUCAUUUCUUAACUCGCUUCCUGUAUGGGAAAAAGCAAACUUGGCUCUACCUCGUGGGAUCGGAGAAAAAUUGCUCUUGCGUCUAGUAGCUGUUGAGCUUGGUUUGACAGCCUCUGCUGUUUUGCCCAAACGGGCCAUGCAAUUUGGUUCUCGAAUUGCAAAACUGGAAAAUACAAGUGAAAAGGCAUCAGACAAAUGUACAAGACUUCAGACAGCUUCAAGAGAAUAAUUUUAGAUAUAGAUAUAGAUAUACACAGCAGUCCACAGCUACUUUUUUUAAGAGACAUAAUUUUUUACUAAACAAACUUCAAAGACCUUGGAUACAGUUACAUUAGGAUCAGGAAUCUGCACAUUUAAUUGGAAAUAAGCACCAGAAGCUUUCUAUUAUUUCUCAAAAUUUUAUACAUAGGAGCAAGGGCUUACAGGUAAGAGGUUCCACAAUAGAAACCUGAAACUACUCAAGUGAUUAAGAGUUAAUGGCCCUCGACUCUCAGUAAGAAUAAAGGACCAGGAAUAUGUUGUAGUAUUUUCUUUUAUGAUUUAUUUGUAAUACUAUAUUCCUACUCUGUGAUAUCCAAAACCCAGACAGUCAUAUGAACAAAACUUAACAAGCUAUUGUUUGUUUCUCUAAAUAAAAUAUUCAUUGUACACAAACUGUAUGCCUAUACAGACUGCUGCUAUUCUGUAUCUGGACAAGAAACAUAAAGUAAUAAUGGCAUGUUUGUAAGCUACAGUCUACUUUUCCAUUUAGAAUACUUUUCUCUUAUGCUCUAGUUUUUAAAAUGAUUUUACCUUUUAUUUAAUUCAAUAGCAAUAGAGAAAUUCAAACUACAAAGAGCAAAGCAUUUGUCAUCUUUAUUCUGGAUAUUUUCAUUAUCUAUCCAGUAUUCAUCAGGAGAAUCCUCAGAAUCCCAGCUAUUGUUUUGAGAGAAUGUUUAUUAAUGUAUAGUUCUAAAUCUGUUAGCUUUUUCACUAUUGGCUCUUCCUUUUUGGAUUGUAAAUGAAAUUUUAAUGUCUAAAAAUCUCAUGCAUCUUCUAUCAUCCAGUGUCUUUAACAAAGUGUGAUCACUAGUUAUCUUUUAUCUCUGCCGGACAAAGCAAUGAGCAACAAUAUGUGAUGCCAGCUCUGUAGCAAUCUAUUCAGUCAUCUUGAAGGUCCCCACGUUUUUUAAAAAAAACUUAUGCCAUGUGCUAUUACUGGGAAAACUUAGCAUGAAAUAAAGACUCUCUCUUUACUCCCAAAAGAUGUAAAUUCACCAGUAGUAGGAUUCUUUUACUGUUCUAUGGUAUCCAUAGUGACAGUCUUUGCUUUCUACUCUCUUUUUCACCACACGACAGCUGAGGAUGUGAGCUGGAGGCUCUCUAGUCUUGGGACAAAAGGCAAGCCUCUCACUUAUUCAUGGAUUUACAUGUGUAGAUUUGUAUUUCAGUCACCUUGCUUAUCUAGGACUGAGUUUCCGGAGACCUAUUAGAAUUUUUCUUUUUUUCUGGUUUCUGUUAGUUCUAUUCCCUGAUUUGGCAGAGGUAGCCUUUAAACGGUUAGGGAGUAUCAAAGGGGCCUUACUGCUUUUUCUUCCUUCUCUUUUCAGUCAGGAUGCAUAAAGAACACGAAGAAAGUAGGUUUCUCUUUUCACUCUCCUCCCUUCCCUCAGGCUGAAGUAAAAAUGAUACUUAAAAGUGUUUGACGAUUUCUGAUCAGAUCAAGGACCGAAGGAAUCGGCUUGACUAUGGUAGCGAUAUACAUGACUCUAAUCUACAGCAUGUAUAUCACUAGACAAUCCUCCAAGUCAUUGAUGAAGAUGUUGAAGAGUACUGGGCCUAAAACAGAGCCUUGGGGUACUCCACUGCAUACUUCCCUCCAUGUGGAUGUAGUUCCGUUGAGGACUACACGUUGAGUGCGGUUGGUCAGCCAGUUACGAAUCCAUCUGAUGGUGGUGCUGUCUAACCCACAUUUUUCUACUUUAUCUAGUAGUAGGUUAUGGUCUACUUUAUCAAAUGCUUUACUGAAGUCCAAGUAAAUUAUAUCGACAGCAUUCCUCUGGUCUACUAAUUUUGUCAUUUUGUCAAAGAAUGCGAUAAGAUUAAUCUGGCAUGAUCUGUUUUUGACAAACCCAUGUUGGCUUUUGGUUAUUACUUUGUUUGCUUCUAGGUGUUCGGUGAUUCGUUGCUUGAUUAUCUUUUCCAGAAUCUUCCCCGGUAUUGAGGUCAGGCUGAUAGGUCUGUAGUUUCCUGGGUCUGUUUUUUUUUCCUUUUUUGAAGAUGGGAACUACAUCAGCUCUUUUCCAGUCCUCUGGCAGCUCCCCUGUGCUCCAGGAUCUUUGAAAGAUAUAGUUCAGUGGUUCUGAGAUCACGUCUGCCAGUUCCUUCAGAACCUUGGGGUGUAAUCCAUCCGGUCCUAGUGAUUUGAACUCGUCUAGGGUAGACAGGUGUUCACUUACCAUUUUCUUCCCUAUCUCCAGACACAGUGCCCCAUUUGUGCUUCAGUUAGCUUGAAGUAUUUUUGAAUCUCAUACAGUGUUGAUUAUAAGUGAAUGUGGUAUGGGGCUUUCCUGAACAUUCACUGCAUACCUACUGUAUGGUGUUGCUUUCUCUUUUUUAAAUGCAAAAUUUCUAAAUCAAUGUUAAUUAUUGUGGAACAAUUGAAAGAUUCCAAGAGUCAUAAAAAACAAAGCUGUAGGCUCCCUCUCAAGCCAUUAUCAAAUAAAUAAACAAAUAAAUAGCCAUUAUCAAUAUAGUUUCAGUUCCCUAGAAUAUCUUUUGGUCACAAAAUGAUUUAAAAAAUGGAAGUAUACUAAAAGUUCAUUGAUUUUAAUAGCUAUAUUAAAGUGCUGUUUAUCUCCUAUUAAAACAAUUUUUUUUUGUUCUGUUCAUAGUCUAUUAUAGGCAGGUUUUAUUCAAAUCAUUUCACUUCCAGUUCAAAUAUUCAACUUUAGAUUACAUGGAAAGUGUUACUGUUUUGCUCCUGUUCAUAUUAAAAUAUGACCACGCUACUCACUAAUUCAAAUAAUAUAAAGUUAAACUAAUAAACUCUAAAUUAAAAAGUAUAGAACCUGACUCAAAUCUCAGUGCAGCAAUGUAUAAAUAAUGUUUUAAACAUAAUGAUGUUUCCAGGCAUUAUAGCUGAAUAAUAGGCAUCAUCUAAGAAAAAUGAGAGAGAUAGGGCAUACAGAACAAUUCCUAAUGUCCCAAUUUCCCUAUGUAAAAUAAGGCAGUUUGUACAGAUUCUCUUUGUGUUGAUUUAGAUGCAUAUUGAAAUACCCAUUGGAGCCAGGGUUCAUAGCCAUAGCUUCAUUCCUUUCAUUCAUAUAUAAUUAAGGCACAACACAAGAGACAUCCACAGAGAGGGCUAAAAUGUUAAGAUUGCUACUGCAACACCACCUCUGAAGCCCCAUCUCUUUUUUUAUGUGUAUUGCACAAGGUGGUUGUUGUCAUCCUGA